GAUGAACGCUAGCGGCAGGCUUAACACAUGCAAGUCGAGGGGUAACAGGGAAGAGCUUGCUUUUCUGCUGACGACCGGCGCACGGGUGCGUAACGCGUAUAGAACCUACCUUUUACAGGGGAAUAGCCCAGAGAAAUUUGGAUUAAUGCCCCAUAGUAUUAUUGAAUGGCAUCAUUUAAUAAUUAAACAUUUAUGGGUAAAAGAUGGCUAUGCGUUCUAUUAGCUAGAUGGUAAGGUAACGGCUUACCAUGGCAACGAUAGAUAGGGGUCCUGAGAGGGAGAUCCCCCACACUGGUACUGAGACACGGACCAGACUCCUACGGGAGGCAGCAGUGAGGAAUAUUGGACAAUGGAGGCAACUCUGAUCCAGCCAUGCCGCGUGCAGGAAGACGGUCCUAUGGAUUGUAAACUGCUUUUAUAUAGGAAGAAACCUUUCCACGUGUGGAAAGCUGACGGUACUAUAAGAAUAAGCACCGGCUAACUCCGUGCCAGCAGCCGCGGUAAUACGGAGGGUGCAAGCGUUAUCCGGAAUCAUUGGGUUUAAAGGGUCCGUAGGCGGACUAAUAAGUCAGGGGUGAAAUCCAACAGCUUAACUGUUGAACUGCCUUUGAUACUGUUAGUCUUGAGUUAUAUGGAAGUAGAUAGAAUAUGUAGUGUAGCGGUGA
rnacentral:rRNA from 1 species